GGCCGAUGGCGACCGGCGCACGGGUGAGUAACACGUAUCCAACCUGCCGUCUACUCUUGGACAGCCUUCUGAAAGGAAGAUUAAUACAAGAUGGCAUCAUGAGUUCACAUGUUCACAUGAUUAAAGGUAUUCCGGUAGACGAUGGGGAUGCGUUCCAUUAGAUAGUAGGCGGGGUAACGGCCCACCUAGUCUUCGAUGGAUAGGGGUUCUGAGAGGAAGGUCCCCCACAUUGGAACUGAGACACGGUCCAAACUCCUACGGGAGGCAGCAGUGAGGAAUAUUGGUCAAUGGGCGAGAGCCUGAACCAGCCAAGUAGCGUGAAGGAUGACUGCCCUAUGGGUUGUAAACUUCUUUUAUAAAGGAAUAAAGUCGGGUAUGCAUACCCGUUUGCAUGUACUUUAUGAAUAAGGAUCGGCUAACUCCGUGCCAGCAGCCGCGGUAAUACGGAGGAUCCGAGCGUUAUCCGGAUUUAUUGGGUUUAAAGGGAGCGUAGAUGGAUGUUUAAGUCAGUUGUGAAAGUUUGCGGCUCAACCGUAAAAUUGCAGUUGAUACUGGAUAUCUUGAGUGCAGUUGAGGCAGGCGGAAUUCGUGGUGUAGCGGUGAAAUGCUUAGAUAUCACGAAGAACUCCGAUUGCGAAGGCAGCCUGCUAAGCUGCAACUGACAUUGAGGCUC
rnacentral:rRNA from 1 species